GUUGUUUUGAUUGUUUUAGUAGUCAUUUUACCUUCGCCUAGUUGAAAUCGAAAUUUUGUUAAAAAUGCAAAAAAUUACUAUCUUGAUUGUUUUGUUGGUAUGUGUUGUUGCCUUGGUUGCUGGUCAAACAUUCCACGAAGUUCGGAAUCAAAUUAUGGGUGAAUAUAACAAAUUGGGCGGAUCGACGAUUGUUCAUCCCGAAGAAGUUGCUGAUGUUAUUAAUUCUUACGAUGUACCAUUCCCCA